rnacentral:tRNA from 1 species
UGCAAGUUAGUAUACCAAAUACCUUUAACUUAGGCUUAAAAAAAAGAUAACAAGUCUACUUGCAA